UUUCCGUAGGUGAACCUGCGGAAGGAUCAUUAUUGAAUAAACAGUGUGGGUUGUUGCUGGCCUUCUGGCAUGUGCACGCCUGCCAUAUGUUUCAUUCCCUUCUUUCCACCUGUGCACUUUGUGUAGGCUAUGUAUGCUGUAUUGUCAGGCCCUUCAUAAGGCUUGGUUUAGAGAGGAUGCUUGUCUUUAUGAGACAGGCUCAUCUUGGGCGUACAGGUCUAUGUUUUACACCAACACCAAAUGAAUGUCUUAGAAUGUAUUUUUCAGGCUCUUGCUAGCCUUUAAACCAUAUACAACUUUCAACAACGGAUCUCUUGGCUCUC
rnacentral:misc_RNA from 1 species